GGUCAUGUGUCCUAGUGGUCAUGGCAUCUGCCCGGUAAGCGGAAGGUCGUGGGUUCGAUUCCCAUUCCUUGACACU
rnacentral:tRNA from 1 species